AUACGUAGGGAGCGAGCGUUGUCCGGAAUGAUUGGGCGUAAAGGGCGCGUAGGCGGCGCGGUAAGUCUGGAGUGAAAGUCCUGCUUUCAAGGUGGGAAUUGCUUUGGAUACUGCCGCGCUUGAGUGCAGGAGAGGUUAUCGGAAUUCCCGGUGUAGCGGUGAAAUGCGUAGAGAUCGGGAGGAACACCAGUGGCGAAGGCGGGUAACUGGACUGCAACGGACGUUGAGGCGCGAAAGCGUGGGGAGCGAACAGGAUUAGAUACCCUGGUAGUCCACGCUGUAAACGAUGGAUGCUAGGUGUGGGGGGUAUCGACCCCCUCCGUGCCGGAGUUAACGCAAUAAGCAUCCCGCCUGGGGAGUACGGCCGCAAGGUUGAAACUCAAAUGAAUUGACGGGG
rnacentral:rRNA from 1 species